rnacentral:sRNA from 1 species
GGUACCCACCUCACCCCGUUGGGCCUCUUCCUCAAGUUCUGUACCUCUCUGGUCUCUUCCAGUUUUAAUCUUUAAAAAGAAGAAGAAGAAGAAGCAAUGCAUAAGCUGAGUGAUUCCCCGCGGAAUCCAAAGCUAACAGAGCCAAUAAGGCACCUUCGAGGGCAUCCCAGCCCAGCUACUGAGCCACCAGCACAGUGGUCCAGAGGACGACCUUGUGCCUAGACCCACCGGGAGUCAGAGCCACUGCGCAUCCCGGAGGCAUCUCUCUCAACCGUUCGAGCUUGGGGCGGUGGCCUCACCCCUUGAGCCUCAAUUUCUGCGUCCGCAGAAGGAACCACCACCCGAGCUCACAGUUAACAAUGUCAGCGAAGCGCCGAGCCGGUGGCUCCUUGCCAGAGGCCUCCACUCACUCCAGACCCCUAUAGCCCGUCGCUGUCAGCUGUCAACAAAGGAUGCGAAUGCUGGCCGCUUUCUGUGGGCUUCGUGUCACCCAGAGGUGAGCCCAGGCCAGGAUGGGGGACUCCAGGAACCUUUGCCCUCACCUUGACUCCAUAGGAGAGGUGACCAAAGAGGACUUGCUGCUCAAAUCUAAG